rnacentral:lncRNA from 1 species
UAUUGUCACACUAUUUAACAGAAUAGUGAGGACUACUGGCUAAUACUAUCAUCUGGAUAAUCACUCCGUUCCCCGACUUGUCCCAGCUACGUUCUCUUUUCCUGAAGAGAACAGUGAAAGAAAGGGUGAGCUCAACUAGCCCAACAAGAAAUAUUAUGACUAAGAUAAUGCAGAAUAAAUUAUCAUUAGUCUCCAACAAUGUUAAACUGAUAAAAUACAAUAGACAUCAAGUUUAACUGCAGCGGCCAAGCAAUCCAUUAAAAGAGUCAAGUAGAGAAUAAAAUCUACUAUCUUUUAUGAUUUAAAAAGUUUUUCAUCA